rnacentral:rRNA from 1 species
AGAGUUUGAUCAUGGCUCAGAAUCAACGCUGGCGGCGCGCUUAACACAUGCAAGUCGCACGAGAAAGGGGCAACCUGAGUAAAGUGGCGUACGGGUGAGUAACACGUGGGUAAUCUACCUUCUGGUGGGGAAUAACGCUGGGAAACCGGCGCUAAUACCGCAUAAUCUCGAGAGAGCAAAGCAGCAAUGCGCCGGAAGAG